AAACCCCAGCUCAUGCCGCUGGACUCGGCCUUCAUCCGGAAGGAGCCCUUGGGCCCGGGGCUCAUCAUCGCCCCCUGGAACUACCCCUGUACCUAUCCCUGGUGCCCCUGGUGGGCGCCCUUGCAGCAGGGAACUGCGCGCUGCUGAAGCCCUCGGAGGUCAGCAAGAGCACUGAGAAGGUCCUGGCCAAGGUGCCGCCCCGAUACCUGGACCAGAGCUGCUUUGCCGUGGUGCUGGGCGGGCCCGAGGAGACGGGGCAGCUGCUGGGGCACAAGUUCGACUACAUCCUCUUCACGAGUGGCCCCCGAGUCGGCAAGAUCGUCAUGGCUGCUGCCGCCAAGCACCUGACACCCGUCACGCUGGAGCUGGGGGGCAAGAACCCCUGCUACGUGGACGACAACUGCGACCCCCAGACUGUGGCCAACCGCGUGGCCUUCCGCUAUUUCAACUCCGGCCAGACCUGCGUGGCCCCCGACUAUGUCCUGUGCAGCCCCGAAAUGCAGGCUCGACUGCUGCCCGCCCUGCAGAGUGCCAUCACCCGUUUCUAUGGCGAAGACCCCCAGAGCUCCCCAGACCUGGGCCGCAUCAUCAGUGAGAAGAAUUUCCAGCGGCUCCGGGGCCUGCUGAGCUGUGGCCGCGUGGCCAUCGGGGGCCAGAGUGAUGAAAGCGAUCGCUACAUCGCGCCCACGGUGCUGGUGGGCGUGCAGGAGACGGAGCCGGUGAUGCAGGAGGAGAUCUUCGGGCCCAUCCUGCCCAUCAUGAACCUGAGGAGCCUGGACGAGGCCAUCGAGUUCAUCCACCGUCGGGAGAAGCCCCUGGCCCUGUACGCCUUCUCCAGCAGCAGCCAGGUGGGGCUGGACAGAG